GGGACGAACGCUGGCGGCGUGCCUAACACAUGCAAGUCGAACGGACGAUGGAGAGCUUGCUCUCCAAAGUUAGUGGCGAACGGGUGAGUAACGCGUGAGCAACCUGCCUUUCAGAGGGGGACAACAGUUGGAAACGACUGCUAAUACCGCAUAACAUGAUCUGGCCGCAUGACCGGAUCAUCAAAGAUUUAUCGCUGAAAGAUGGGCUCGCGUCUGAUUAGCUAGUUGGUGGGGUAACGGCCCACCAAGGCGACGAUCAGUAGCCGGACUGAGAGGUUGAACGGCCACAUUGGGACUGAGAUACGGCCCAGACUCCUACGGGAGGCAGCAGUGGGGAAUAUUGGGCAAUGGGGGCAACCCUGACCCAGCAACGCCGCGUGAAGGAAGAAGGCUUUCGGGUUGUAAACUUCUUUUAGCAGGGACGAAGAACGUGACGGUACCUGCAGAAAAAGCAACGGCUAACUACGUG
rnacentral:rRNA from 1 species